rnacentral:rRNA from 1 species
CAAUAGCGUAUAUUAAAGUUGUUGCGGUUAAAAAGUUCGUAGUUGGAUUUCUGCCAAGGACGACCGGUCCGCCCUCUGGGUGAGUAUCUGGCUUGGCCUGGGCAUCUUCUUGGAGAACGUUGCUGCACUUCGCUGUGUGGCGCGGUAUCCAGGACCUUUACUUUGAGGAAAUUAGAGUGUUUCAAGCAGGCUUUCGCCUUGAAUACAUUAGCAUGGAAUAAUAAGAUAGGACCUCGGUUCUAUUUUGUUGGUUUCUAGAGCUGGGGUAAUGAUUAAUAGGGAUAGUUGGGGGCAUUCGUAUUUAACUGUCAGAGGUGAAAUUCUUGGAUUUACGAAAGACGAACUACUGCGAAAGCAUUUGCCAAGAAUGUUUUCAUUAA